rnacentral:misc_RNA from 1 species
UCCGAGUUUCCUCGGCAGUCCCAUUAGAGUGCUCUCAUUACUGAGGAGCAACUAACGGCAAGGGUUGCGCUCGUUAAAGGACUUAACCCAACAUCUCACGACACGAGCUGACGACAGCCAUGCAGCACCUGUGUAACCGUCUGUAUUUCUACAGAACCCAGUAUCUCUACCGGUAGCAGUUACAUGUCAAGCCCAGGUAAGGUUCCUCGCGUAGUGUCGAAUUAAACCACAUGUUCCACCGCUUGUGCGGACCCCCGUCAAUUUCUUUGAGUUUUAAUCUUGCGACCGUACUCCCCAGGCGGAUCACUUAACGCGUUAGCUUCGACACAGAUUCGGCUAAGCCAAACCCAUAUCCAGUGAUCAUCGUUUACAGCGUGGACUAC